rfam:Triticum urartu cultivar G1812 contig583303, whole genome shotgun sequence.
AAGGUACUUCCUUCGUCCGAAAAUAUUUGUCAUCAAAAUGGAUAAAAAUGGAUGUAUUUAAAACUAAAAUACGUUUAGAUACAUCUCCUUUUAUCCAUUUUGAUGACAAGUAUUUCUGGACGGAGGGAGUACAAC